GUGAUUUUCUUCAGGGGGCGGCGUUUCCUUUGCCAGGCGGUUCUUCUCACGGCCAAAUCGAAUUUCAAGAUCAAUGACUUCGUCACAGCAGCAUAACACUGAAUUUGUUUCCCUCCCAAAGAAAGGAAAAGAAGAAAAAGGUUGUGGAGCCAUUAGAAUGAGUAAAGGUGUUCGAGCAAGGAAUAAGGGGCUCAAAUUUCAAGUUAAUUGGAAUAAGUGAAACGGAGCUUGCCACAAAGUUGAAAAUGAACACAAAAUGGCUAAAAAUACUAUGUCCUUGCCAAGAAUAUUACAUAGAUUGUGGAUAUUAUGUGAUGAGAUUCAUGAAGGAGAUAAUCUCACACAAGCGACUUCAAAUUCCCGAAGUUUACUUUUCAGAUUGUCAGUUUCCAAGUUAUGACAAAGAGCAGAUUGGAGAAGUAAGAACCGAACGGGUGCCCCAUGUUGUUCAACAAUUGUAUAAUUGCUAGGUUUUGUUGAAGGAACCAACAAACCUAAGCCUCUACUGAUUAAUGUAUUUUACGUAGUUUUAUGUUUAGAGUUUUAGUUUAGAUCUAUGUAAUUGGUUUUAUUAGGGUGACA